rnacentral:rRNA from 1 species
UACGAAGGGGGCUAGCGUUGCUCGGAAUCACUGGGCGUAAAGGGCGCGUAGGCGGCCAUUCAAGUCGGGGGUGAAAGCCUGUGGCUCAACCACAGAAUUGCCUCGAUACUGUUUGGCUUGAGUUUGGUAGAGGUUGGUGGAACUGCGAGUGUAGAGGUGAAAUUCGUAGAUAUUCGCAAGAACACCAGUGGCGAAGGCGGCCAACUGGACCAACACUG